rnacentral:tRNA from 1 species
GCGCAUAUCGUCUAGUGAUCUAGGAUGCCUCGUUCUCAGCGAGGAAAACACGGGUUUGAAUCCCGUUGUGCGCUCCA